rnacentral:ncRNA from 2 species
GAUAAAGCGCAAAUAGAGAAGAGUAUGUAAUGGCUGCCUCACACAGAGAACUCCGUGAAGCUGAGAAGGAGCUGGGAAGCGUUACAGAACCAAGCCUCUUAGCUCUGCACCGGAUUCAUUGUGAUGGUGGUGCAGCGGCAUUCUCCCGUUAUAGAGAAGGGUUAGCGAUAACCUGCUAAGGUUCAUCUGGUAACAGGUGAAUGAACUGAGGUGGCAACGCGGAGUCAAUCCCGUCCUCAAG